UUCAGUUUCUAACUAUCAAUGUGGACAUAAGUAUUCCAGAAAUAAUGCAGCUCCGUCAGAAAUUUCUCAUCAUUCUUGUGUUCUUUGGGAUGGUAUUGAGUGGGCUCAUUUACCUGAACAAUAACCAGUGCAGAUGCAAUCAGCAGAUAACAGAACAAGGCAUCAUCAACCCAGAAUGGAAGCAAAAGACCUUUGGAUUGCGCUCAUCGCCAGGGAUGUUGUACAACCAGCCGAGUGCAUUGGUAGGUCGGACAGAUGUUGCUUCUGUAACAUC